GAGGGUAGAGCUGACUGGUAGAGCAUGUGCUUAGCGUGCACAAGGUCCUGGGUUCAAACCCAAGCACUUCCA
rnacentral:tRNA from 1 species